rnacentral:rRNA from 1 species
UUAUUGGGCGUAAGAGCUCGUAGGCGGUUUGUCGCGUCUGCCGUGAAAGUCCGGGGCUCAACUCCGGAUCUGCGGUGGGUACGGGCAGACUAGAGUGAUGUAGGGGAGACUGGAAUUCCUGGUGUAGCGGUGAAAUGCGCAGAUAUCAGGAGGAACACCGAUGGCGAAGGCAGGUCUCUGGGCAUUAACUGACGCUGAGGAGCGAAAGCAUGGGGAGCGAACAGGAUUAGAUACCCUGGUAGUCCAUGCCGUAAACGUUGGGCACUAGGUGUGGGGGACAUUCCACGUUUUCCGCGCCGUAGCUAACGCAUUAAGUGCCCCGCCUGGGGAGUACGGCCGCAAGGCUAAAACUCAAAGGAAUUGACGGGGGCCCGCACAAGCGGCGGAGCAUGCGGAUUAAUUCGAUGCAACGCGAAGAACCUUACCAAGGCUUGACAUGAACCGGAAAGACCUGGAAACAGGUCCCCCGCUUGCGGUCGGUUUACAGGUGGUGCAUGGUUGUCGUCAGCUCGUGUCGUGAGAUGUUGGGUUAAGUCCCGCAACGAGCGCAACCCUCGUUCUAUGUUGCCAGCGCGUGAUGGCGGGGACUCAUAGGAGACUGCCGGGGUCAACUCGGAGGAAGGUGGGGACGACGUCAAAUCAUCAUGCCCCUUAUGUCUUGGGCUUCACGCAUGCUACAAUGGCCGGUACAAAGGGUUGCGAUACUGUGAGGUGGAGCUAAUCCCAAAAAGCCGGUCUCAGUUCGGAUUGGGGUCUGCAACUCGACCCCAUGAAGUCGGAGUCGCUAGUAAUCGCAGAUCAGCAACGCUGCGGUGAAUACGUUCCCGGGCCUUGUACACACCGCCCGUCAAGUCACGAAAGUUGGUAACACCCGAAGCCGGUGGCCUAACCCCUUGUGGGAGGGAGCUGUCGAAGUGGGACUG